AUUGAACGCUGGCGGCAGGCCUAACACAUGCAAGUCGAGCGAGCGGCGGACGGGUGAGUAAUGUAUGAGGAUCUGCCCGAUAAGGGGGGAUCACUACUGGAAACGGUGGCUAAUACCGCAUACUAUCGGAUGAACCUAUAUGGGAUUAGCGAGUAGGUGGGGUAAAGGCUCACCUAGGCGACGAUCUCUCGCUGGUCUGAGAGGAUGAUCGGCCACAUGGGGACGGAGAACCGGCCAAUACUCUAACGGGGGGAAGCAGUGGGGAAUAUUGCACAAUGGGGGCAAGCCGGAGGCAGCCAUGCCGCGUGUAUGAAGAAGGCCUUAGGGUUGUAAAGUACUUUCAGCGGGGAGGCGUUACCCGCAGAAGAAGCACCGGCUAACUCCGUGCCAGCCGCCGCGGUAAUAC
rnacentral:rRNA from 1 species